CUGGCUUCACUUAUCUGGUGUAGAACAGGCUCUCUGGAGGCUGUUAUUAACAUUGCUCAGAAAAAUCAACAAACAGGAAGCAUCUCCAUUUUUUGGGGCCCCUUACACAACUUUUAUUGCUAAUAUUCUUUCUGUCUAGGUGGGCCAAGUGUGGCUCCCAUUAAAGAGAGAUUUGUUUACCCCCUUCAUGAAGUCUUGGCUCAUGUUUGGGGGUUUGGAGAACUACAUUCACU